UUUAACAUGAAAACUACCGUUAAAUCAAAAUAAACGUUUGAGAUUUGUCCGCGUUACCCUAAGUAAAACUUUUACUCCCGGAUUUAACAAUGAGGGGAAUGUUUUACCGGGAGUAAAAGUUUUACUUAAGAUGACGUAAACAAAUCUCGUAUGUCAUUUUUUUUAAUCCAACGAUAGUUUUUAGGUUUAC
rnacentral:pre_miRNA from 1 species